ACGCUGGCGGCACGCCUUAUACAUGCAAGUCGAACGGAGUAGCAAUACUUAGUGGCAGACGGGUGAGUAACAUGUGGGAAUCUUCCCUUUGGUGAGGAAUAACACGAGGAAACUUGUGCUAAUACCUCAUAAGUCUUUACGGAGAAAGCUUUAUGCGCCAAUGGAUGAGCCCGCACUUGAUUAGUUUGUUGGUGGGGUAAUGGCCUACCAAGACUUUGAUCAAUAGCUGAUUUGAGAGGAUGAUCAGCCACAUUGGGACUGAGAUACGGCCCAAACUUCUACGGAAGGCAGCAGUAGGGAAUCUUGCACAAUGGAGGAAACUCUGAUGCAGCGAUGCCGCGUGAGUGAAGAAGGCCCUUGGGUUGUAAAGCUCUUUCGUCGGGGAAGAAAAUGACUGUACCCGAAUAAGAAGGUCCGGCUAACUUCGUGCCAGCAGCCGCGGUAAUACGAAGGGACCUAGCGUAGUUCGGAAUUACUGGGCUUAAAGAGUUCGUAGGUUGUUAAAAAAGUUGGUGGUGAAAUCCCAGAGCUUAACUCUGGAACUGCCAUCAAAACUUUUUAGCUAGAGUAUGAUAGAGGAAAGCAGAAUUUCUAGUGUAGAGGUGAAAUUCGUAGAUAUUAGAAAGAAUACCAAUUGCGAAGGCAGCUUUCUGGAUCAUUACUGACACUGAGGAACGAAAGCAUGGGUAGCGAAGAGGAUUAGAUACCCUCGUAGUCCAUGCCGUAAACGAUGUGUGUUAGACGUUGGAAAUUUAUUUUCAGUGUCGCAGCGAAAGCAAUAAACACACCGCCUGGGGAGUACGACCGC
rnacentral:rRNA from 1 species